CAGUCGAACGGUGAUAUUUAUAUCAUAGUGGCGCACGGGUGCGUAACACGUAUGCAACCUACCUAUUAUUGGGGGAUAGCCUUUGGAAACGGAGAUUAAUACCGCAUAAUACGAUUAACUGGCAUCGGUUGAUUGUUAAAGCAUUUGCGAUAAUAGAUGGGCAUGCGUCCAAUUAGUUAGUUGGUGUGGUAAUGGCUCACCAAGACGAUGAUUGGUAGGGGAUCUGAGAGGAUAAUCCCCCACACUGGCACUGAGAUACGGGCCAGACUCCUACGGGAGGCAGCAGUAGGGAAUAUUGGGCAAUGGGCGAAAGCCUGACCCAUCCAUGCCGCGUGCAGGAAGACGGCGUUAUGCGUUGUAAACUGCUUUUUUAUAGGAAGAAGGAUCCCUUGCGAGGGAAGGUGACGGUACUAUAAGAAUAAGCACCGGCUAACUCCGUGCCAGCAGCCGCGGUAAUACGGAGGGUGCAAGCGUUGUCCGGAUUUAUUGGGUUUAAAGGGUGCGUAGGCGGUUUAUUAAGUCAGUGGUGAAAGACGGUCGCUCAACGAUUGCAGUGCCAUUGAUACUGGUAGACUUGAGUGAGAUUGAGGUAGCUGGAAUGGAUAGUGU
rnacentral:rRNA from 1 species